UGGCGGCAGGCCUAACACAUGCAAGUCGAGCGGUAGCACAGAGAGCUUGCUCUCGGGUGACGAGCGGCGGACGGGUGAGUAAUGUCUGGGAAACUGCCUGAUGGAGGGGGAUAACUACUGGAAACGGUAGCUAAUACCGCAUAACGUCGCAAGACCAAAGUGGGGGACCUUCGGGCCUCAUGCCAUCAGAUGUGCCCAGAUGGGAUUAGCUAGUAGGUGGGGUAACGGCUCACCUAGGCGACGAUCCCUAGCUGGUCUGAGAGGAUGACCAGCCACACUGGAACUGAGACACGGUCCAGACUCCUACGGGAGGCAGCAGUGGGGAAUAUUGCACAAUGGGCGCAAGCCUGACGCAGCCAUGCCGCGUGUGUGAAGAAGGCCUUCGGGUUGUAAAGCACUUUCAGCGGGGAGGAAGGCGUUAAGGUUAAUAACCUUGGCGAUUGACGUUACCCGCAGAAGAAGCACCGGCUAACUCCGUGCCAGCAGCCGCGGUAAUACGGAGGGUGCAAGCGUUAAUCGGAAUUACUGGGCGUAAAGCGCACGCAGGCGGUCUGUCAAGUCGGAUGUGAAAUCCCCGGGCUCAACCUGGGAACUGCAUUCGAAACUGGCAGGCUAGAGUCUUGUAGAGGGGGGUAGAAUUCCAGGUGUAGCGGUGAAAUGCGUAGAGAUCUGGAGGAAUACCGGUGGCGAAGGCGGCCCCCUGGACAAAGACUGACGCUCAGGUGCGAAAGCGUGGGGAGCAAACAGGAUUAGAUACCCUGGUAGUCCACGCCGUAAACGAUGUCGAUUUGGAGGUUGUGCCCUUGAGGCGUGGCUUCCGGAGCUAACGCGUUAAAUCGACCGCCUGGGGAGUACGGCCGCAAGGUUAAAACUCAAAUGAAUUGACGGGGGCCCGCACAAGCGGUGGAGCAUGUGGUUUAAUUCGAUGCAACGCGAAGAACCUUACCUGGUCUUGACAUCCACAGAACUUUCCAGAGAUGGAUUGGUGCCUUCGGGAACUGUGAGACAGGUGCUGCAUGGCUGUCGUCAGCUCGUGUUGUGAAAUGUUGGGUUAAGUCCCGCAACGAGCGCAACCCUUAUCCUUUGUUGCCAGCGGUUCGGCCGGGAACUCAAAGGAGACUGCCAGUGAUAAACUGGAGGAAGGUGGGGAUGACGUCAAGUCACCAUGGCCCUUACGACCAGGGCUACACACGUGCUACAAUGGCAUAUACAAAGAGAAGCGACCUCGCGAGAGCAAGCGGACCUCAUAAAGUAUGUCGUAGUCCGGAUUGGAGUCUGCAACUCGACUCCAUGAAGUCGGAAUCGCUAGUAAUCGUAGAUCAGAAUGCUACGGUGAAUACGUUCCCGGGCCUUGUACACACCGCCCGUCACACCAUGGGAGUGGGUUGCAAAAGAAGUAGGUAGCUUAACCUUCGGGAGGGCGCUUACCACUUUGUGAUUCAUGACUGGGGUGAA
rnacentral:rRNA from 1 species